UCGCGGAGCGGCUGGGAAGGAGGGGCUGGGAAUCUUGGAGCCCCUUGGCCCGCGGGGAAAGCGGGUGACCCGCCCUGCAAGUGGGAUGCCCCCUUCGGCCUUCUGGAGCGCAGAGCAAUGCACUCUGAAGCCGGAGGGUAGAAAGUGCUGGAAUGCGCGCCCGGGCCCAGGCUGUCGCGAGCCUUCAGCAAGCCAGUGCACACAGAGAGGGCUGCCCAGAGAUCCCGGUCAGCGCUCGCAGUUCGAGGUGGAACAGGGAGGCUGUCUCCCCGGCAAGGGUGCCCACUGCAAGCACAGGCGUGAGAAAUGGCCCAGAAAAGAGUGGUCAGGGCAAUGUGUUCUUGGCACGCCCAGCAAGACCUGCCAGAGGGACCUACAGACGAGUGUCUCCCAGCUAUCUUACCAGCGGGGACCUUGAGGUCCAAGUAUCCAGUCCGGUUAGAAAUGGCCGCGGAUCCAACAGGUGCUGGUGAGUGGGAGAAUACCCCUGAGGGAGGAAGAACAGAGGCCGGGAGGGAGCUGAGUGGAUGUAGAUGAGAAAUACCUGGACAGCUGCAAGCUGUAGUCAGUGAUGGGCAACUGGAACCAGAGAUUCCAGAGAGAGGGAGGGAGAAAGAGGGAG
rnacentral:lncRNA from 10 species